rnacentral:rRNA from 1 species
UACGGAGGGGGCGAGCGUUAUUCGGAAUUAUUGGGCGUAAAGGGCGCGUAGGCGGCCUGGCAAGUCAAAGGUGAAAUCCCUCGGCUCAACUGAGGAACUGCCUUUGAAACUGCAAGGCUUGAGGCCGGGAGGGGGUAGCGGAAUUCCCAGUGUAGCGGUGAAAUGCGUAGAUAUCUGGAGGAACACCGGUGGCGAAGGCGGCAUCCUGGACCAACACUGACGCUGAGGAGCGAAAGCCAGGGGAGCAAACGGG